rnacentral:rRNA from 1 species
CGCAAGCUCGCGAGAGUAAGCUAAUCUCUUAAAGCCGUUCUCAGUUCGGACUGUAGGCUGCAACUCGCCUACACGAAGUCGGAAUCGCUAGUAAUCGCGGAUCAGCAUGCCGCGGUGAAUACGUUCCCGGGCCUUGUACACGCCGCCCGUCACACCAUGGGAGUUUGUAACGCCCAAAGUCGGUGGCCUAACCUUUAUGGAGGGAGCCGCCUAAGGCGGGACAGAUGACUGGGGUGAAGUCGUAACAAGGUAUC